AACGGGUGAGUAAUAUAUCGGAACGUUACCUUUCAGGUGGGGAAUAACGUAGCGAAAGUUACGCUAAUACCGCAUAUUCUGUGAGCAGGAAAGCAGGGGAUCGCAAGACCUUGCGCUGAUUGAGCGGCCGAUAUCAGAUUAGCUAGUUGGUGAGGCAAAGGCUCACCAAGGCGACGAUCUGUAGCGGGUCUGAGAGGAUGAUCCGCCACACUGGAACUGAGACACGGUCCAGACUCCUACGGGAGGCAGCAGUGGGGAAUAUUGGACAAUGGGCGGAAGCCUGAUCCAGCAACGCCGCGUGAGGGAUGACGGCCUUCGGGUUGUAAACCUCUUUCAGUAGGGACGAAUGUAGACGGUACCUACAGAAGAAGCACCGGCCAACUACGUG
rnacentral:rRNA from 1 species